rnacentral:rRNA from 1 species
AUUGAACGCUGGCGGCAGGCCUAACACAUGCAAGUCGAGCGGAGCGGCAGACGGGGGCGUGAGGCCUAGGAAUCUGCCUGGUCGUGGGGGAUAACGUCCGGAAACGGGCGCUAAUACCACAUCCUAUCAGAAGAACCUAGGUCGAGUUGGGUAGUGGGUGGGGUAAAGGCAAACGAAGGCGACGAUCCGUAACUGGUCUGAGAGGAUGAUCAGUCACACUGGAACUGAGACACGGUCCAGACUCCUACGGGAGGCAGCAGUGGGGAAUAUUGGACAAUGGGCGAAAGCCUGAUCCAGCCAUGCCGCGUGUGUGAAGAAGGUCUUCGGAUUGUAAAGCACUUUAAGUUGGGAGGCGUUACCAACAGAAGAAGCACCGGCUAACUUCGUGCCAGCAGCCGCGGUAAUUC